UUGGCUGUGUACCAGACGCUUCCGGGUAGUGUUUUGUUGAUCUACCGAAGGUCUUGACUGAAAAGACGCCGUGUACGCGCAGGUUGCACUGUCUAUUGGGAGAUGCGUUAAGGUUUGCGUACUGGAGAGAUACCAGGGAGUCCCAUUUCCAUUCAUGUUGAGUGGUGUAUUCCUAGAGGUAAAAGGAAACCUUGUUGUAUUGUAUCUGUAUUGCUUGAUAUUGGUUUAGGCUGUAUUUACCAUAAACAAUGGAUUUUAACUGUGUUUGUUUACCCCUUCAGAAAGAUUGCCACUGCUGCUUUGCCUCCUGUAGAUUUAAGUAAUUGUAGCUCUUGCCUCAUUUUGUUUUCUUUAUUUUGUUUUGUUUGUCCGAUUGAUUUGGCCUAAACAUAGGCGUGGCUGUGUUCAUUUAUCUGCCCUCCGUCGUGGUGUGUCGGCAACAGGUGUGGUAUUGGCUGCCCCAGUAUUUUGCUGUGGUAAUGUGUUAUGGUGGUAAUGCUAACAUCUAGCUUUCUUGACCCAGCCAGUUAUUGCCAAUAGCAACCAUAUCUUCCCUUCUCCCCUCCAGAGAAACAGAGUGUUGCAGCUGUUCCGCGGGGCAGGUCGCCGGAUCUGAGUCCUCCUCUUCGCGUACUUCACACAGUAUUUGUAGUGGUAACGUGCACCUCACUAUUUGCAGUGAUCACUCUUUGUAGUACCUGUGUGUGUGUGUGUGUGUCUGUGAAUAGGCAACAGAAUCAGCAGCACGGGUGGUGUGUCGGUCUCACUCCUCUUCCAAGACAGGUAACCUCUCCCGAACAGCUGAUCAAAUUAACCCUACGUGAUUACAUGUAAUAUUCCUGGUGGCAGCCACUACCUUCCUCUUGCUGGCCUAUUGGGCCUAAUAUGUAUUGCACUCCAUCCUGAGAAACAAACCCAAGACUGACUUUUUACUGAAUUGCUUGUGAAUAAAUAUUGUUUAUUUUUUCAUUGAAAUACCACGUCUCUGUCAUUACUUGCUUAUCUGUGUGCGAGAGCCCUCUUGUCUAAAUCAAGGUGUUGGAGGUCUAGCUAAAGUGCAUCUUGGUGUGAAAGGCCCCAAGUGGCGUAGUCGAGCACUCUAGAGUCAAGACUCUUGUCAUCUGAC